rnacentral:misc_RNA from 1 species
AGCCAAAUAAUUUUCGAACAGGACAAUGAGAAAAACAUCAAUUAUGUUCUUUAUAGAAGGAGUACAAAGAAAGCACAUGAUUAUUACUCACAUUUUCCAAUGUUUGCAGGGAGGCACUUUUCAAAUUCAGUACAUUGUUAACGUAACAUGUUACUGUUAUUUGAUUCUGCGGAUAAACAUCUAUUUCGCACCCUUUAAAAUUUAUACCUCUGCCUUUCCGAAAACCUCAUCAAUCGUAUCUUUGAACCUAACAAAUUCUUUCCAUUCUUAAUUAUCUUCUACUAAAAUACUUUUCUUUGGUCGUGGCGACAAUUAAAAUCAAAAAUCUCAACAAGAAUUUAUAAUGUUUCGUCCUAUGAUCCUCGUA